CUGGCACACAGAACUCACAAUUUAUGCAACACAAAACUCCUCCUCUGGGCCAGGCUAGAUAAUUGAGUUUCUACAAUACACAAAGCUCAAUUAUCUGCUGGCCAGAAACAUUACAGUUUUCAACAAUUUCAGAAAAGUACUUUUUAUAUUACAUACAAACAUAAUUUUAAUAUCCCUGGGUAGCUGCUGGUCUGGGGAGCAACAUACUUAAAUUUCACGAAAAUCCGUUUGGUAGUUUUCGUGUUGCGUCGUGUGGAAGUUUGACCGGCUCCCUGCAUGCUGGUAUCCGAUUUAGAGUUCCAUGAAAUUGGGACUAAGAGCCGGUCUCCGUUCGCAUCAAUUUACACGAAAACUACCAGGGUUAAGAUACAGAGAGUUUGUGGAAAGUGUUCCCCUCAUUCGGUAGAUUGAAUUUCCCGAACGCCGUUCGUGUCCAGUUCGUGGAAAUAGGUC